UACGAGGGGGGCGAGCGUUGUUCGGAAUUAUUGGGCGUAAAGGGUGCGUAGGCGGCCUGACAAGUCUGAUGUGAAAUCCCUGGGCUCAACCCAGGGCCUGCAUCGGAAACUGUCGGGCUUGAGUAUGGGAGAGGUGAGUGGAAUUUCCGGUGUAGCGGUGAAAUGCGUAGAUAUCGGAAGGAACACCUGUGGCGAAAGCGGCUCACUGGACCAUUACUGACGCUGAGACGCGAAAGCGUGGGGAGCAAACAGGG
rnacentral:rRNA from 1 species